UGGUGGUGGUGGCCGCUAGUUGGGCCUCCCGCGCCUCGUGUCGGUCCAGCUUGUUCGCCACCGCCUUGAUGCUGCGGUCCAGGGCGAGGAUGGCGUCACGGAUGUCCAGGUGGCUGUGGGGAGGGUUAGGUUAGGUUAGGUUAGGUAUGGUGAUGGUUAGGUUAGGUUAGGUAUGGUGAUGGUUAGGUUAGGUUAGGUAUGGUGAUGGAUGGGUGAGGUGAGGUUAGGUUAGGUUAGGUUAGGUAAGGGUUGAGUUGUUAAAGACUACCAAUAAUAAGAAUAUGACUAAUAAGACUAAGAAGAAGAAAAUGAAGAAGCAGAAGAACAAGAACAAGAAGAAGAACAUUAACAAGAAAAAGAACAAGAACUAGAAGAAGAACAUGAACAAGGAAAAGAACAUGAACCAGAAGAUUAAGAACAACAAGAUUAUUAAGUCGAAGCAGACGAACAAAAACAAGAACAAAACGACCAAGAAGAAGAACAACAACAACAAAAAAGAACAAGAAUAAAAAAGACCAAUAAUUAUAUACGUGAAAACAAGGCAAAAAAAGAAAAAGACAAAAAACAAAAGAGAUGCGAAAAAAAUAGAAAAAAGUAUAUUGCUAAAGAUAAUUACCAGAGAGAGAGAGAGAGAGAGAGAGAGAGAGAGAGAGAGAGAGAGAUUCUGGGUACAAGGACGAGAGGUUGGGUAUAAAACCUCACACUUAGAAGAGGAGAAGGAAGAGGAGGAGGAUAAUGGGUAAUAGAUAAAGCAAUUGUUUUCUCUCUCU